UUUUGUAGCCUGGUUUUGGUUACUACCUCAAAACCUUUUUCUAUUUGUUUCUGAACCAUUUGCUUUAACCUUUUUUCUUUGAGGUUAGAGGGUGGAAAACAGCCAGCUAAGAUUCCUAAAAAGGGUUUGGAAAUUGUAAAUGUAAUUUCUAGAAUUGCUAACAAAAUUUACCAUUCUGUAAUUUUAUUUAAAUCUGUAUAAGAAUUUAUUUUUUUGUCUCUGGAUGGUACAAAGCAUUCACAUUUCUCUUUAAGCAGAGCUAUGUUGAACAAGUAGCAACGGAGAGUGCUUUACAGUUCCAGACACACUGACAAAGGGGCAGAAUUAUGCAGUUAAUUUUCAAAGGACCUUUGAAUCAUUUUAAGGUCUAGGAGGAACUAAUGAGAACUACUGAGAGAAACAGCCAUAGCCCAUGCAGCAGCUGAACAGUACAGACCAAGGAGCCAGUUCAAUCCUGUGAGUAGACAUCAAUCAGCAGAUCUGUGUGAUUGCCAGAACCGUGCAUGAGGAUGAGGCACACACUUAGGUUUAUAAAGCGUGGCUGAAAUUCUACCACCUUAACUUUUAUACACUGGGACUAUGCAGAAAGAUUCAGUACAUUUGCAAAUCGAUUAGAUUGUACUCAGCUGUACUUUUUAGAUCUUGGGCAUUUGGUUGGGAAGUUGUGCUAGUCAGGGAAGGGCCACAUCACCUAUUCGCACUAGCCAAGGAGCUGAUCCAAGUGCUUCCCUUGUAAACUGGUUACGUCUGUCAUGUAAAUCAGAGACCAAGCUCAGCAUCCCAGCAUGACACUUUGGGAGAUCAUUGCUUAGGCUAUAAGCACAUUUUGGAAUGAAGAAGAAAACAUAAAACGACAUAGAGAUGGAAGCAGUUUUCAAUCUGCUCUAGAAAAAAAAGGGAUCUGGAGCCCACUUCGGCUCCUGUGCUACAGCAGAGCUAUGUAGCAAGCCUCAGGCUUUUCUCUUGCUUCAGCUAUCUGGCUGAUGUGAUUUGUAAACUUAGGCACAAUCAGUAGGAUGAUGACUGCUGUGUCUUAUUUUAAAUGGACAGUUUUCAUGUUCAACAUGUUUAUAAAUGAAAGCAAUUUUUAAUCAGUUCUUUAAAAAUAGUACUGCAGAGUAUUGGCAUCUGUCAUGUAUUAUGAGAACGUAUUUGUCAAGCAUGCAGAAUAACAAAUGCUUUCAAGUAUUUGACUGUCCAUAGGCAAUUACAAAAAAUCCUAGACCUUUGCAACCUAUUGUCAGAGAGUUUAGUAGCAGGAGGUUUGCAUCACCAUGUUGUAGUGGGGUUAAAUAAUUUGCACCAGAUCAAUACCCUGUCAAAGCACUUCAAGGGGGAAGAAAGUGGGUUAUUUCAGUGCAUCAUGAAAGAAUUUGAACUGCAUUGAAACCUUUAAUUUCUUCAGUAUAGUAUCUAAGCACCUGGAGUAACCUGGUGCUGAACUCGGGGCUCUGGCCACUGCUCUGUGAAGCGUUAAAAAAAGCUUAGAUCAUUUUAAUAAUGGUAUCUAAGAGCCUGAUCACCAUAAUGCUGCAUCAAAGUGGUUGGAUUACCUCAGCGCAGUAUCAAAGAGCUUAUCUAAAGCUUGGGCUGGAGCACACCAGCAGUGACAGCAGCUGCUAUAUUUUAAACAAAUUCUGACUACAAGUUCAUUUCCAGCUUUCCUUUCCCUCAAUAUUUGUAAGAAUUUUGUUGUGGUAUACAAAAAAAACCCCUAAAACCCAUAGUGAGGUGAGUAUAGCAGCAAUACAAUGCUCCUUCAGUCACAGGAGUUAAGCAAAAUGCUUUUCAGAUGUGACAUGUUUCAGAAAGUAUAAAGUGACGGAUAAGAAACAGAAAGACUAUGAGAUCCUCUUUUUAUUCUCCUUCACUCCCCCACCUCCACCUCUCUGCCUUUCUAUUGCCAGCUUUUUAUGUCUGCAAAGACUCAAAGUUACAGGAACAGGGGAGUGAAAGAGAAAUAUUUAUGUCAGAGAUGUAAUACUUGGAGGAAUUCAGCACCUAAUAAGAGCACCAUUUUCUUUGUGAGCUUGUGAAGGGUGAGAAAUAACAAGGGCAGUAGCACAACAGCGGCAGUCUCAGGUUAGCAAAGUCCAGACAUGAGGAUAUUCAACCAGCAGCAGAGAGGGAAAACAACAGCUGGCAUAAGCCAUCAUCAUAUGUCUUGAUCUUCACCAGGGACAGGUGGUCAAAGCAACUCCACACCCUUCUCUCCGUACAAUGCUUUGGAGCCGGACACACAAGUAUCUGGGCCUGGAAUGCUGCUUCAAUACGCAGUUUCUUAGAUCUUUCUGUUUUAUUUUUGGAAAUGCCCCAUUCCCACAAUGCCGGACCCUCUCUGGCUUGCAGCGAGAUGCUAAGACGUUAGGGCUGGGAUGCUCUCCACCUCCGGUGGGAGGGUGUCUCCUAGCAGCCGGCCCUAGAGCAACGUGGAUGUCUUCAUGCAGUCUGCUCACUUUAUCAACCUCAGAGGGGCACGGGGACUGCAGCUGCUGUCGGAGGAGGGGAGGGAGCACAGGAUUGUGCUGGGAGACA